GGCCAUUUGAGUCCACUGAAAUGGCUCAGCAUGAAUAUUUUCUGAUGGGACAGAGCUGGACCAAGUGAUACAACUCUAAUGAUUACAAUUUUCUCUGUACCUUUUAGAGAAGGAAGUUUCAAAGGAAUAAUGAUAUUUAAUUGUUAAUUAUAUCUACUUUUUUACAGAAAAGGCUACACUGCCUACAUCAUGGUAUUGUCAAGGUGUUUCCUUCAACUUCUUGGUUAUAAUCCAUUUUCCUCUGAAACACCUAUUUGUGAACAAGAACUUUGUCAACUUUGUGGUUGUGAAAUUUAGGGGGAGGAAGAGAACAAAUAGACUGUGCUCCUCCUUUCAGAGUGGUUUCAGUCCUGAUCAGCAAUUUUUGAUUAC
rnacentral:lncRNA from 1 species